rnacentral:rRNA from 1 species
GCUUUACUGUAACUUGAAAUUGAAAUUGGACUUUAUUUGCGCAGUAUAGGUGGAAGGCGUUGAGAAUAUUCUUGCGGGAAUAUUGGAGCCAUCAGUGAGAUACCACUCUUGUAAUGUUAGAUUUCUAACUUUGGAUCAUUAUCUGGUCAAAGAACAGUUUCAGGCGGGCAGUUUGACUGGGGCGGUCGCCUCCCAAACGGUAACGGAGGCGUACAAAGGUUUCCUCUGAACGGGUAGAAAUCGUAUCUAGAGUGCAAAGGCAUAAGGAAGCUUGACUGUGAGACCUACAAGUCGAGCAGGGACGAAAGUCGGUCUUAGUGAUCUGACGGUGCUG